UUUUGUUUCAAAAUAAACAAUACAAAAAAUUUGGAUAUAUUUUAUCCAAAAUUAUUAUAAGAAACAGAACAAUAGUGGGCAGAAUAAAACCCACAUAAAGUGGACUAGAAUGCUUCACAAUUGCCAACAAAAAGUAAACUAUAAAAUGUAAUAUUUCAAAACAAGGGAAACAAAAAAAGUUUAAAGAAAUUAUGAUAAAUAUUGAAGCCACAAGAGAAUAAUAAACCGGCAUUAGAAAAAUUAAAAAAUGAGUGAUAGCAGAAACAGAAUUCAGUGUUAUAAGCAAAAAAAUGACACAUUAGUUAAAUUUCUCUCAAACAUCUCUUUCAUCCUGACUUUCAAACUGCAACUUGAGCCUGUCAUUCUCUAGACGUGCUUCACCUCUGCCUGGCUUUUAGUAGAGCAGACAUGUAAUAGCAGAUUAAACAUAUGGUAGCUUUCGUUGAGCAAGAAGCUAAUAAAGCAGAAGAAAUAAGAGCAAAGGAAGGUAGAACAUUGAGAAGGCUUGUCCUGUGUAAACAAAAAUAGUAAGGCUUACAGAACAUUAUGCCAAGAAAGAAGUGCAGACUAUAGUAGAAAGAAACUCAGAUGUCCAACUUGAUAAAUUAAGAAAGUUUGAAAGUCUGAGCCAGAAAUGACUAUUACAGACCUACUUAAUCAACACGGACUCAGCAUGGAUAAAAGACAGAACCAGGUUCUGUGUGUUGCUGGAAUCACCAGUUGUUGGAGAUUUGUAUUAACUCCUAAUGAUUGUUCAUUCCAGGAAUGGGGACAUCCUGAGAGUAAAAUCUGACAUGCAGAAAGUGAUCCCUAUAUUCAAAGUUGCCAACAAAACGCUGGGGAUACAGUCAGCGGAACAGUGCCUGCCUGGGAAGUGCGAGGUCGUGAGUUUGAUUCCAGAGUGAACCUCCAACAACCAAAAUGACCAGAAGACAUCAACAUAGGGACUGGUGUGAGCAUUAAAUAUUUAUUGACCUGGAGAACUAAGAGUCAACAAUGGAGUUAAAGGGGAAAGUACAAUAUGGAACUGGCUAUAUGUUCUGAUAAUAUGGAACUAUCAAAACAUGGGAAAAGUGAUGAGAAUUAUGCAGGAAUUAAAAGUAGAUCAAGCUUGUUAAUUGCUUUACAGUUAUUACCAGAAAAUUGAAAGAUACUACUUCAGAUCAGAGGUGUGGGGAAUGGAAAAAGAGUAAAGAAGAAACUGUUAGUGAAUUUCAAUGUUUCUCAUCACCAGGAGUAGAAAAAUUACUGAGAAUAUGACAUAGAGAUAUUAGUGUAUGAGCAGCCAUGCAAGCAAAAAUACAAAGCUUACCAAUAAAAACUGAGAGAACGAGAAAGAGUACAAAUAAACACAAAAGAAUUAUUUCUAUAAAACAUGUUAAUGUAACAUAAAACAGCAUGGCAGCACUAAGGUGAAACAUACAGAGCAUGGACCUGAUUUUAUUCUAAUACUAUUGUCUGUGCUUAACACUAAUCAAGUUUGAAAUGACUGAAAUUUCCUAAUGUGUAGGACGUAUAAAAAAAUGAAGUACAGUACCUUAUUACACUGACUAUAAUAGGGGUCCCAAAUUCAAACGCUUUUAGAGACUAAACGAUGAAAGAAGCUAGAUGCCACAAGUGUGAGGCAUUUGCCAUGUGCGUGUGUACAUUUGUGCAUGUGGAUAGAAGUGAAACUCCAUCUUAAAGGGAGGAGUUCCUACUCAGCUCUAGCUGUUUUGGGCACUGGAAAAUGUAGACACAUUGUUUCUGGGUCUUCUGAUUUUUUGAGAGAAUCAUAUAUUAAUGAUUAAAAUACUGUGUAGCCCUAGAAAACAUUCUGCCAAUCCACUGCGUGUGUACUCUCUUAAACUGAUGUUAAGAACUUUCUUUCUUUCUUCCUCUUCCUUCUUUCUUUCUCCUUUUUUGUUUAUUUACAAAUGAGAGUGUUUGAAAUCUUAACAAGGAGCACAUCAUUUAUAACAAGGCAUUUUUUUAAAAAGAUGACCAUGUGAUUUUGGUUUUUUGUAGCUUUAUUCAUGUUUCACCUGUAGUUGAAUCAUAAGUCCUACCCUCAAAUAUACAUCAUGACUUGAGAGAGCUUUCCUUCAUGUCUAGAUUAUUAUGUUCAUUCUACCUCAUCCCUCUGUCAUCUCUUUUUCUCAAUUAAAAAGGUUUUAAAGAUGUUA